rnacentral:lncRNA from 1 species
AGGUCAAAGGGACACUUAUACUCAUAUCUUUCGCAAGCUACUCUUGACAGCAGAAUGCUCAGCGGUUGAUCACGUUCAAUAAAAUAUACUCCUACAUUUCACUUGUAUGCAGUACCAAUAUCUCUACACCUCUUGAUUAUGAGGACAAUUAAUGCAUAUGACAUACAACGAUUUAUACUUGAUAAUUGCUAUUAUUCUAGUAAUAACGUAUCAUUUGGUCGUGAACUUAUUUUAAGGAAUAAACGAUAUAUCUUCCUAUAUCGAUUAGGAUAGUCUUAAGGAUUUCAUCACAAUAUUGGAGUUC